rnacentral:rRNA from 1 species
GACGAACGCUGGCGGCGUGCCUAAUACAUGCAAGUCGUGCGGACCUUUUAAAAGCUUGCUUUUAAAAGGUUAGCGGCGGACGGGUGAGUAACACGUGGGCAACCUGCCUGUAAGACUGGGAUAACGCCGGGAAACCGGGGCUAAUACCAGAUCGUUUUUUCCUCCGCAUGGAGGAAAAAGGAAAGGCGGCUUCGGCUGCCACUUACAGAUGGGCCCGCGGCGCAUUAGCUAGUUGGCGGGGUAACGGCCCACCAAGGCAACGAUGCGUAGCCGACCUGAGAGGGUGAGCGGCCACAUUGGGACUGAGACACGGCCCAAACUCCUACGGGAGGCAGCAGUAGGGAAUCUUCCGCAAUGGACGAAAGUCUGACGGAGCAACGCCGCGGGAGUGAAGAAGGCCUUCGGGUCGUAAAACUCUGUUGCCGGGGAAGAACAAGUGCCGUUCGAACAGGGCGGCGCCUUGACGGUACCCGGCCAGAAAGCCACGGCUAACUACGUG